AUCCUGUAUGUUACUUUAUACUGAUAAUAAUCACAUGUAAUAUGCACCUGACUUUAUACUUUUUGGUUAUUGUAUCUAUGGUCAUGUUUGUUGAGGGAGAACUGUCAGAUUUUGGCGGCGCUUCAUUGCCCGAGGUUAUGUUGGAUUUGUUCUUUUGUAAUCUUAUAAUUAAUCCUGUAUGUCGCUGUAAUAAAAGAAAUAUUACUGGAAGCAGUGGUUUGUGUGCUAAACCCCUUUUACUGAGCAUUAAAUCUAUGGAUGAUUUCAACUCAGAAAGCGGGAUUGUGAAUUCAAAUGCCCACAUAGAAAUUGGUUAAUUGUUUUCACCUGUAUAGAGGUGCUAUAUUGAACCAUCGCACUGGGAGAUUUCGGCACAAGAUCGGCAGAAGUAGAGGUUUACAGUGAAUAAAAAGUGCAAGCCUUUGAAGAGCAGAGGCGAGUCGAACUCGACGCAAGAUGAGUUAAAGGCCCGACCACCUGCGGUCUUAAACUACAAUUUUGUCGGAAGUGUGCAGACCUGCGGUGAAUGUGGAUGUUCAUUCACUGCAAAAAUAGGCUACGUCAGCCACCUGAGAGGUCACGAUCAUCGUUCUCACUAGCCAGUGAAUACUCAGUCGCCGAGGCCGAAACCGGCUAGGACAGGAUGAUCAGAGGUGCGUAGCAAUGUAUGUUGCUUGGUUUUUAAAAAAAAAAAGUUUGAGUUUGUUUGAUUGACAAUUGGUUUCAUUUGCUUACCAUAAAAGGUGUUUUAAAUUUGCAAUAUAAGUACUUGAUGUUUGCUAUGUAUUGAUCUAGUUUCUAACCCCUGUUUUUUUUUGUCAUUGUUUGUUUUUGGUCUGAGAGAUGACACGUUGGAAUACAAUGAGAAUAGAUCUCGACGAAAAUGCAAGCAAGCAACCAUCAGCUUCAUCACAGUGAGAUUGGUGAGACACAGAGCCAACAUGGUUACGAACGAAGUCAAAAGGGUAAGGAUGACAUUGUGCAGUAUUCAGGUACAAUAUAGGUGCUUAGUGAAGUUAGUUAUUAACACUGAGUUGUAUAAUGACAUUAGGUGAAUAUACUAGGUAUUAUUACUAUUUUGGAUAGUCUAAUGACACUAAAAGGUAUUUUAUUUCUAAUGAUGUAUGAGUAUAUAAUGCCUAUAUAUGGCAAGAGAUAACAAUAAAAUGUUAUGGAUUGGUAUCACAGAGGUUAUUGCCAUGAUGAAUUGAUAGGAUAGCGAAGAUGAGAGGAAGAAACUGAUAGCGGGCUAGAAUUGUAGAUUGGCCCAUGACGGUUAUCAGUGGAAAGAGUUAAAAGAGGCUUUUACCAAGCACCACACUUAUUGAGAUAUAGCUCUAUUUCUAUAUUCCGGUCUCUAAUUCAGAAUAGGUGGAUGUGCAUAUAAAUUAUUUUAGAUAAAAGACUGAAGUUAGUUUUUGAUUUGACAACAAAGAAAUUAUUUAUAAACUUUUGUAUAUGAAAAAAAUGUUAAUUGAAGAUAUUGAAUGGUAUAUUCUACAUAGGUAGGUACAUGCAUUUAGUUUCAUAUCAUUGUUAUAUUGGAAAUUAUCAAUCUGGAUACUUAGAGAGAAGCACAUACAAACAAUAAUGAAUGAAUGAAAUUACACACAGUAUAAAUUCGAAAUUUGAAAUGACACAGGUAGUUUCAUAUCUAUUUCAUAACAUUUAUUUAAAGGUCAUGCAUCUCAACAAUCCAAUUCAUCAUUGAAAACCCGGCUGCCACAUCACAGGCAUAGCCUAGUGUGGGGCCACAGGAUAUAUAUAUAUUGUCAACAAGGUUAUUUGAAAUAAAUAUUAUUCUGAUUCUUAUUAGAUUAUGUAAUUCAUUCUGAAGCCUGAAUUUUGUAUAUGAGCAAGGUUUAUAUAAUUUAAAAAUGAAAAACAGAUGUGCUGAAUUUUUGGAAAUUGUCCAGGCUUACCUCACGCUUCACAUACAAAUCAAGGAAGUUUACAUUAAUGAUAUUAAUAUUUCAAAAUGUAAAAGAGACUUGUACUAUUAAUGGUGUCACAAUUAUGUUACAUCAAUUUACCAAAGAAUUAAGUUUGAAAAUAUAAGUAACAAUUACAAAGCAUCAUUAUUAUCAUUCAGGGAACAUGAUGCAUGGUUGCAUUGUGGAUACUGACAUUGCAUAUUAAAAUGAAAGGGUUAAGAUCUCCUUGUAGGUAUUUAAAAGAAAGUGAAUAAGUUCACUAUAUUUGGAAUUCUUGAAUAUCUACUUCAUACCUUCAAAUUGUUGACAAGUGGUAUUUAUAUUUAAACCUUAUUGCACAAAAUAGGUAUACACCAGUGUUCAAAUUUGUUUUUCUGAAUUUAUAAAUUUAAUGCAGGUCUUGUCUAAUGACUCUAGUGAAAGCGUUUGUUGCACGGGAUUGGCUAGACAAGAACAGAUUACUUUUCGGUGUUGACACAAUAUUUAUUGUCUAAUAAUAUUGCAUAGUAUUCAGUUAUAUUUUUAAAAUUUGACUAGGUAUGCGAAGUUGAAAUAGUACAGUUAUACAUCUGUAAUACCAUGGAUUGCGAUGAAAAAUGAUUAUGAUUACAAUCCAGUAAUAAACCACAAAUGAAACUAUGAAUUAUUGUUGCUAUGAAAUACAAUUUAUUUGUGGCUUUAUGGGUUCAGUUGCAUAAAAACUUAACAGCUGGUGAUGCCUAAUUAAGUUAAUCAAAUGGACGGAUCCUAGAGGUCAUAAAUUGUGGAAUUUGGGUUGCUAAGAGGUGGGUAAUGGUCAGGAAUAGUGUCGGUCGAAUGCAAAAGCAGAUUACUUGUGUAUACAUUAUCAAUUAUAAGAGGGUCCAUUUAUAAAAUUAAAAUGUUGGCAAGAGCAGUGCCUGUUUGGAAAGACAAGACUUAAAGAAUUCUCAUUGAAAAUUGACUUAAAGAGUAAGGUCGAUGAGUGGGUACAAAUAAUGUCACAAGUUUUAGUGCAGGGUUUUAGUAUGGUUUUGUGCAAAAGUCUGUGACUGACUUAAACAAAAGACUCAACACCAGAGUAAGUUGAAUGAACGAAUCUAAAAGUACAUAACAUUCAAAUUUAAAGAAGCCUUAUAAAGUAGGCUGUGUAGAAGUAACUUGGAGUUAAUUUUUAUUUUACAUUUCUUUUCAAUUCAUUAAACUUUGAAAGUAUCCUUAAAAUUUGGUUUAUUGUUAGGUUUAACACAUGGUACAUUUAUGAUUUUAUGACGAAGACACAGUGAUGACAAGAGAAAUAGGUUGGUGAUAUUAACCAUGUGAUCCAUGAUUCAUAAACACAACAUUUAUGGUUGCAGUUUUACAGCCAUAGCCGAUUGGCUCUAACUAUUAAAAAAAAAGGUGUAUAAAUAUAUUGGAAUUUAAUUACUUCCAAUAGUUUCAAUAAUAUAGUAGGUGGGGUAAUGACGCUAGUAUUUGCUACGGUGUACUCGGUGUAGUAUACGCUUGUACCUAUUUGGAGCCUUUUCUUUCCGGGUGCAUGUGACCCCGAGAUUUAGUGUUGCGUUUUUUACCAUCCCUGUGGCUGAAUAUUACUAUGGUGAAAUGUUGCACGAAGUUUAGGACAAAACAUCAGGACCAUCAGGUUAUUGAAUAAAUAUCUGUUUAUAUAAAUUCAACAAAAUAAAACAUGAUUUAAAUGUAAUCUUCUCAAAGUUGAUAAAUUGAUGAAUAUUUAUUAUUUUAUUUUAUUAAUGUUGAGGAUUUUUGAUGAAGAUAAUGAUUGAUAUCCAUGACGACAUUGACGUCUAAUUACAAUUUUAGUAACGAUGAGUAGGUGUCUAAUACAAAUACUUUAUUUAUAACGCUAAGGAAGAUCUUAGGUAACAGAGGUCCGAUAAUGAUGAUGAUGUAGGUAUAUGACUGAACAUGUCUACUAGUUAAGUAAGUGUCGAUGUCGGCGACAAUGUUUGCUCCAUGACUAUGGCAGGGUCAAUAACUGGCCAUAUCGAUGAUAAAAACGGAGCUGGAUGAUUUCGAUGACAAUGUCGGCGAUAAAGCUUGACUGACCACUUUGAUGACGAUAUAUAGAUGACGUUUAUAGUAAGAUUAAUUGAUGAUGGUAAUGAUUGACUGAUUCCAUGUGUAUAAUCAAUGAUUAAAUUGUUGACGAGGACUGAGACUAAAAUGAUCGUUGCUACUGCCAAUAAUUAUAACAUUUGUUUUUAUUUUUUUUAUGUUACAACGCUGGUAACCUGGCUGAAUGGAUGAAGUUGAUAAUGAGCGAGGGCUUCGCAGCAAGAGCUGACUGAAGUAAAGGAGGUUAAACUGUUAAGACGGUGCUGCCAGCAGUGGGCAGGGCCCAAGCUGCCGAUGGACAGGGCCACAGAGCGAGGAACCGACAUACAUACGUGCCGUGUCCAAGAUUACUGCCUUCUGCAUCUGAUCCUUGAUCCAGCGACCAGCGAGAGUAUCUACAGGUGUUGUUUUGGACUCUUAGCUGACAAGAUUGCUAUUAUAUUAAUAUUAUGAAUCUAGAAUAUAACCGUUGAGUUUUGGCAGACUGUCUAGUGCAGGCCGUAAUGGCAGACUGUCUAGAGCAGGCCAUGACUGUUUAUUAUGUUAGUUUAUGCUUUGGCAAAGUUAGGUUCUUGUAAUAUGGGCCUUGUUGUCUGAUCCAAAUAAAUAUAUAUACAUAUUAGUUUAUACUUUGACAAACUGUCCAGCGCAGGCCUUGAAGGCAGACUGUCUAGGGCAGGCUUUGAUAGCAGACUGUCUUCUAGAGCAGGCCGUGAUGGCAGACUGUCUAGACAACUCAAGUCUAGAGCAGGCCAUAACUAUUUAUACUUUGGAAUGAUAUCUAGAGCAGGCCUUAAGGGCAGACUGUGAAUGUUUAUGAUGAAUUAUACUUUGUCAAACUAUAGAGUAAGCCUAAAUGGCAGACUGUGAUUGUUUAUGAUAAAUUAUACUUUGCCAAACUAUUUAGAGCAGGCCUAAAUGGCAGACUGAUUGUUUUGAUGAAUUAUGUUUUGCAAAUCAUUUAAAGCAGGUCUUAAUACUGUGAUUGUUUAUGAUUAAUUAUGUUUUGCCAAACUAUUUAGAGCAGGCCUAAAUGGCAGACUGAUUGUUUUGAUGAAUUAUGUUUUGCAAAUCAUUUAAAGCAGGUCUUAAUACUGUGAUUGUUUAUAAUGAAUUAUGUUUUGCCAAACUAUUUAGAGCAUGCCUAAAUGGUCUUAAUACUGUGAUUGUUUAUGAUGAAUUAUGUUUUGCUAAACUAUUUAGAGCAGGCCUUAUAAGGGUAGACUGUCAUUGUUUAUGACGUUUUAUACUUUGCCAUACUGUUUAGAGCAGGCCUUGAGGGCAGAUUGUGAAUGUUAAUGUUGGCUUAUACUUUGGCAGAUGUCUAGACCAGACCAAGACUGUAAGUUAGUUCAUAUGUAUUGAAAGUUUAUUGAAAGAAGGCUAUUAAUGCUACCAGGUGCUGGUUGUAUUAAAUUACUGUUUAGUGUUUAUAUGAUCUCAGGUUAUAGCAUGUGAAGAUUGUGAAGUGUGAAGACUGAUUUCUCAAUAAGGUUAAUAUAUGCAACUAGUCAUUGGUUGUGUGAUUGACUAAUAAAAGUCUAUAGUCAGAAGUUUACAAAAACUGUUCUUAUGAAUGUUUGUUUGAUAUCGAUAAAAUUGUUAUGAUAUAUUGCUGUUGUUAUUAAUGUACAAUUGUUUUUAGUGAGAGGACUCACUAUAAAUAAAAGGACGGCCGAGUUGUAAGCAUCACAAUAGUUGAUAUCCUGUAUGUUACUUUAUACUGAUAAUAAUCACAUGUAAUAUGCACCUGACUUUAUACUUUUUGGUUAUUGUAUCUAUGGUCAUGUUUGUUGAGGGAGAACUGUCAGAUUUUGGCGGCGCUUCAUUGCCCGAGGUUAUGUUGGAUUUGUUCUUUUGUAAUCUUAUAAUUAAUCCUGUAUGUCGCUGUAAUAAAAGAAAUAUUACUGGAA